rnacentral:tRNA from 1 species
GGAGAAGUGGAUCAGACGGAAGAUCGUGUCCGAUACGGUGAGGCCGGAGUUGAAAGCCCGGUUUAGGAUAGUCGGACAAGACGCAGGUUCGAGCCCUGCCUUCUCCACCA